rnacentral:rRNA from 1 species
UACGAAGGGGGCUAGCAUUGCUCGGAAUCACUGGGCGUAAAGCGCACGUAGGCGGCUUGUUAAGUCAGGGGUGAAAUCCUGGAGCUCAACUCCAGAACUGCCUUUGAUACUGGCGAUCUCGAGUCCGGGAGAGGUGAGUGGAACUGCGAGUGUAGAGGUGAAAUUCGUAGAUAUUCGCAAGAACACCAGUGGCGAAGGCGGCUCACUGGCCCGGUACUGACGCUGAGGUGCGAAAGCGUGGGGAGCAAACAGG